rnacentral:tRNA from 1 species
GUCCUUCUAGUAUAACGCUAGUACAUGUAACUUCCAAUUACUUAGUUUUGGUUAAAUUCCAAAGAAGGAUA